UUAUCGGAGAGUUUGAUCCUGGCUCAGGACGAACGCUGGCGGCGUGCCUAAUACAUGCAAGUCGAGCGGACAGAUGGGAGCUUGCUCCCUGAUGUUAGCGGCGGACGGGUGAGUAACACGUGGGUAACCUGCCUGUAAGACUGGGAUAACUCCGGGAAACCGGGGCUAAUACCGGAUGGUUGUUUGAACCGCAUGGUUCAAACAUAAAAGGUGGCUUCGGCUACCACUUACAGAUGGACCCGCGGCGCAUUAGCUAGUUGGUGAGGUAAUGGCUCACCAAGGCAACGAUGCGUAGCCGACCUGAGAGGGUGAUCGGCCACACUGGGACUGAGACACGGCCCAGACUCCUACGGGAGGCAGCAGUAGGGAAUCUUCCGCAAUGGACGAAAGUCUGACGGAGCAACGCCGCGUGAGUGAUGAAGGUUUUCGGAUCGUAAAGCUCUGUUGUUAGGGAAGAACAAGUACCGUUCGAACAGGGCGGUACCUUGACGGUACCUAACCAGAAAGCCACGGCUAACUACGUGCCAGCAGCCGCGGUAAUACGUAGGUGGCAAGCGUUGUCCGGAAUUAUUGGGCGUAAAGGGCUCGCAGGCGGUUUCUUAAGUCUGAUGUGAAAGCCCCCGGCUCAACCGGGGAGGGUCAUUGGAAACUGGGGA
rnacentral:rRNA from 1 species